AUACGUAGGGGGCGAGCGUUGUCCGGAAUGAUUGGGCGUAAAGGGCGCGUAGGCGGCCCGGUAAGUCUGGAGUGAAAGUCCUGCUUUUAAGGUGGGAAUUGCUUUGGAUACUGUCGGGCUUGAGUGCAGGAGAGGUAAGUGGAAUUCCCAGUGUAGCGGUGAAAUGCGUAGAGAUUGGGAGGAACACCAGUGGCGAAGGCGACUUGCUGGACUGGAACUGACGCAGAUGCGCGAAAGUGUGGGGAGCAAACAGGAUUAGAUACCCUGGUAGUCCACACUGUAAACGAUGAAUGCUAGGUGUAGGGGGUAUCGACCCCUUCUGUGCCGCAGUAAACACAAUAAGCAUUCCGCCUGGGGAGUACGGCCGCAAGGUGGAAACUCAAAUGAAUUGACGGGG
rnacentral:rRNA from 1 species